rnacentral:rRNA from 1 species
GUGGGGAAUAUUGGGCAAUGGGGGAAACCCUGACCCAGCAACGCCGCGUGAAGGAAGAAGGUCUUCGGAUCGUAAACUUCUAUCCUUGGUGAAGAUAAUGACGGUAGCCGAGAAGGAAGCCCCGGCUAACUACGUGCCAGCAGCCGCGGUAAUACGUAGGGGGCAAGCGUUGUCCGGAAUGAUUGGGCGUAAAGGGCGCGUAGGCGGCCUGGUAAGUCUGGAGUGAAAGUCCUGCUUUUAAGGUAGGAAUUGCUUUGGAUACUGUCGGGCUUGAGUGCAGGAGAGGUAAGUGGAAUUCCCGGUGUAGCGGUGAAAUGCGUAGAGAUCGGGAGGAACACCAGUGGCGAAGGCGACUUACUGGACUGUAACUGACGCUGAGGCGCGAAAGUGUGGGGAGCAAACAGGAUUAGAAACCCGAGUAGUCC